rnacentral:lncRNA from 1 species
CCCGGUCCUCUAAUAUGUGGAUAAUUAGAAGCUUCUCAUCACUUACCAGGUGUCUACAAGCUUCCCAGCCUUGGGCUGAAGUGGUGUGGGCAUGCUAACUUCUUUCUUCCUUGAAGUAUCUCAGCAUCGCCAGUUCAAAAUUGCAGUAGGAGGUUGAUGAAAAUUUGGAUUAUCCGUCCUUUUAAGUCAAGCAAAAGUAUUAGUUUUUGGUCACUACUUUCUAGAUAUUUCAAUUUAAUACAUUCGGCACAUUAUGCAGACCACU